UAAAAGCAAUUUGAGUACUAUUGGGACUUUUUUCCUGAUUUUCUCUAAUUGAAGUUUUACUUUCACAUUCAGUUAUUGGUGGUAUUGUAUCCUAUUUUUGUUUUUCUAAAGGUUACUAGUUUUUUUUUUUUUGUCAUUACCAAGUUACACCUGAUUUCAUUGUAAGGUAUUGUAGCUUCAAUAUUUGAUUAGAUAUGGAAACAUGAAAGUUUGAUCAACAACUAAUAAAUUUAGGUGAAUGCACUGUGCACUUUCACAAUCUUGGUUGCUUAUACCAUUUCCCCUUCCCACACACCAUCCAAUUUUUCCUUCUGGCAGUUGGAAAAUUGUUCACCUAAUUAAUCUGUUUAUGGAAGAGAGUUGACUAUGUUGAAAUGGAUUGAUUUGCUGUAAUAUGCAAAGUUUUCUAUUACUCUUGUCAUGUUUUUUAUGGAGAUUUUUUGGUUUCAGGUUCCAUUAUAUGUGGCCACAAAAAUGGCAUCAAUCAAGAAAUCUUCAUUCUUUGUCCCAUCAACGGACGGCUAUGCAAAAGCAGGUGUGAGAUGGAUAGGAUAUGAACCUCGUUGCACGCCAUACUGGCCUCAUACCCUUCUUUGGGCCGUGGCAUACUCGUUGCCUGAGUUCAUAGUUGAUGCUUGGCGUCUGCAGUUUUGUAUUGGUAUUAGAAAGAGGGGACUGCUGAAAGAUUCAAGGAAGAAGGAUUGAAAGGAUGUUUGAUUGUUUGUAAUGUGUAGGCAUAGAUGUUGCUGAUAACUGCAGGCUGCUGCAAGUAGAUUAAGAUUCCAAGUUGUUUGUUAUGUUUCUAGUUUUACUCUUAAUUAAUGUUGCUGGUCUUAAUGAGUAUCAGUUAUGUGUCCCUACUCUUUUUUCUUCUCACAUUCCGUUUGUGUUUCUGUUCUCUGUUAAUUGAUAACUGGUAUUCUAAAUUGUGAGCAUUUCUGUUCCAUUAUCUCAUGUUCUCCCAUCCACAGCCAUUAACCACGUUGCUGAGAGCCUCAGACAACAUUCUCACCCCCCAUCGAUCACACAACCUCCGUGUUUAGCAAACCAUCACUCAGUUUUUCUCAUCUCGCUUCACCGCAUUGUUUCGUUUAAUUGAUAUUGGACAAUAUUCUUUAAAAUAUAAAUGAUUGACAAUUUCUUUGACUAUAGAAUUUUUCAAGGACAAUCCUAGUUCAACAUAUUGAAUUUUAUGAAUGGACAAAUAAAUCGCCGAAAUAAUAUGUACUUUUACAUAUAUCUCAUUCAUAUCAAUGUUCUGUUGUCACUCUAAAAUUAUUUUAUCGUAUUUAAUCUCUAAGUGACUCCUAUAAAUGUAACAUAAAAUGUAAAAAUUUAAUGUUUUAUAAAUUUUCGAUGGAGUAUUAUUCACGUUGUAUCUACAUUAAAAGUCACAUAUUUGUUUAAUGUGAUAUGUCAAUUUUUAAUGACAAAAAUAAAUAGAAUAACUAUUUGAAUUAUUGAUUAUAAUUUUAGAAUGUAGAUGUCAAUUUAUAAAAUAUAUAUAUAUAAACUAUUUUGAUUGUUGUAUUAUCUGAGAACCAACUUUUGCCUAACUUUUUUUCUUUUAACUUACCUUUUUUCUAAUAAAAGUUAAUGAGAUAUAGAGACAUCAAAAUAGAGAAAAAGACACCAACUAUGCCGAUACUUCAUUCCAUAACAAACAUAUGUACCUCAUAAAUACAUUCAAUAAUAAUAAAAAUAAAAGUGACUAAUAACUUGAAAGAACCGGAUCAAAACUCGAUAAAACAAACAAUAUAAAAGACCAUCAAUUGAUGUCUCAUUAAUAGAGUGCAUUAAUUAAUGAAAGCAUAAAGUAAAAAGUCAAAUCCUAUUAUGGAAAAGUCCUCCUUAAUAUAAUUGGGAUUAGAAUUCCACCAAAACUGACCAUCAGACAGAAAGCAACGUUGGACAAUUUAUCUACAUAAGCAUUACAUUCCUUAUAACUAUGACUAACUAAAACAAAGGCUUCUUACAACAUGAACACGACGACAAUAGCAAUAUCAAUAAUAAUAAUAAUAAUAAUAAUAAUAAUAAUAAUAAUAAUGUAAUAUGCAAAGUUUUCUAUUACUCUUGUCAUGUUUUUUAUGGAGAUUUUUUGGUUUCAGGUUCCAUUAUAUGUGGCCACAAAAAUGGCAUCAAUCAAGAAAUCUUCAUUCUUUGUCCCAUCAACGGACGGCUAUGCAAAAGCAGGUGUGAGAUGGAUAGGAUAUGAACCUCGUUGCACGCCAUACUGGCCUCAUACCCUUCUUUGGGCCGUGGCAUACUCGUUGCCUGAGUUCAUAGUUGAUGCUUGGCGUCUGCAGUUUUGUAUUGGUAUUAGAAAGAGGGGACUGCUGAAAGAUUCAAGGAAGAAGGAUUGAAAGGAUGUUUGAUUGUUUGUAAUGUGUAGGCAUAGAUGUUGCUGAUAACUGCAGGCUGCUGCAAGUAGAUUAAGAUUCCAAGUUGUUUGUUAUGUUUCUAGUUUUACUCUUAAUUAAUGUUGCUGGUCUUAAUGAGUAUCAGUUAUGUGUCCCUACUCUUUUUUCUUCUCACAUUCCGUUUGUGUUUCUGUUCUCUGUUAAUUGAUAACUGGUAUUCUAAAUUGUGAGCAUUUCUGUUCCAUUAUCUCAUGUUCUCC
rnacentral:lncRNA from 1 species